rnacentral:rRNA from 1 species
AGUGAACGCUGGCGGUAGGCCUAACACAUGCAAGUCGAACGGCAGCACAGUAAUAGCUUGCUCUUACGGGUGGCGAGUGGCGGACGGGUGAGGAAUACAUCGGAAUCUACUUUUUCGUGGGGGAUAACGUAGGGAAACUUACGCUAAUACCGCAUACUACCUACGGGUGAAAGCAGGGGAUCUUCGGACCUUGCGCGAUUGAAUGAGCCGAUGUCGGAUUAGCUAGUUGGCGGGGUAAAGGCCCACCAAGGCGACGAUCCGUAGCUGGUCUGAGAGGAUGAUCAGCCACACUGGAACUGAGACACGGUCCAGACUCCUACGGGAGGCAGAAGUGGGGAAUAUUGGAAAAUGGGCGCAAGCCUGAUCCAGCCAUACCGCGUGGGUGAAGAAGGCCUUCGGGUUGUAAAGCCCUUUUGUUGGGAAAGAAAAGUAGCAGGUUAAUACCCCGCUGUUCUGACGGUACCCAAAGAAUAAGCACCGGCUAACUUCGUG